UACGGAGGGUGCAAGCGUUGUUCGGAAUCACUGGGCGUAAAGCGCGUGUAGGCGGCCUCUUAAGUCUGGUGUGAAAGCCCGGGGCUCACCCCCGGAAGGGCACUGGAUACUGGGAGGCUAGAGUACCGGAGAGGAGGGUGGAAUUCCUGGUGUAGCGGUGAAAUGCGUAGAUAUCAGGAGGAACACCGGUGGCGAAGGCGGCCCUCUGGACGGCUACUGACGCUGAGGCGCGACAGCGUGGGGAGCGAACCGG
rnacentral:rRNA from 1 species